GGAAGGGUGAUAGGUUGGCAUCAAGUGCUUACAAGAUGGGCAUUUCUAGUCUAAGGUCAGGCUGAAAGUCAUCAGAAACACCAUUUAAUUAUUAAUUUCUGCAAAGUGAAAGAAACUGAUGGGCCAUACUGACAUGAGUCAAAUUAUAGAUAGGGUGACUAAUUUGAGGAGAAUCAACAUAAGUCCAAGAAGGGAAAGGAGUUUAGCAGUGAACAAAAAUCGAAUCGGAUGGCAGAAGUUAUGGUCACAGCACAAGGAAGACUGCCUCAGAUGCCGGGUGGCAGGGAACACACGUGAGACUCAAAAUCAGUGA
rnacentral:lncRNA from 1 species